GCGAGUCGAGCGUCUCUAGCUAUGUUGAGACGCGGCAUACGGCUCAGUAACGCGUGGCUAACCUACCCUCAGGACGGGGAUAAUCCCGGGAAACUGGGGCUAAUAUCCGAUAGGUGAGAAAGCCUGGAAUGGCUUUUCACUCAAAGGGCAUUGGAUACAUGCAUUCAAUGUUGCCUGGGGAUGGGGCCGCGUCCGAUCAGGUUGUUGGUGGGGUAAUGGCUCACCAAGCCUAUAACCGGUACGGGCCGUGAGAGCGGUAGCCCGGAGAUGGGUACUGAGACAAGGACCCAGGCCCUACGGGGCGCAGCAGUCGCGAAAACUUCGCAAUGCACGAAAGUGUGACGAGGCUACCCCGAGUGCCAUCCGCUGAGGGUGGCUUUUCUUUGGUAUAACUAGCCGGGGGAAUAAGGAGAGGGCAAGACUGGUGUCAGCCGCCGCGGUAAUACCAGCUCUCCGAGUGGUAGGGAUGUUUAUUGGGCUUAAAGCGUCCGUAGCCGGCUUAGCAAGUCUCCUGUUAAAUUCAGCGACCUAAUCGUUGACCCGCGGGAGAUACUACUAAGCUAGGAGGCGGGAGAGGUCGACGGUACUUCCGGGGUAGGGGUGAAAUCCUAUAAUCCCGGGAGGACCACCAGUGGCGAAGGCUGUUGACUAGAACGCGCUCGACGGUGAGGGACGAAAGCUGGGGGAGCGAACCGGAUUAGAUACCCGGGUAGUCCCAGCCGUAAACGAUGCGGGCU
rnacentral:rRNA from 1 species